rnacentral:lncRNA from 1 species
GCUACAUCAUGCUUCAAGACAAAAUUUCAUUUAUUUUUAAUUAGAAAUAAAUAUUUCACAAUAUAUAAUUACAUAUCUUUUUUGUGAUUAAUCACUAUACUUUAAUUAUGUUCAAUUUUUAACAAUGAAAAUAUAUUCUGCAUAUCAGAUAUUUACAUUACGAUUCAUAAUAGUAGAAAAAUUACAAUUAUAAAGUAACAGCGAAAAUAAUUUCAUGGUUGGGGGUCACCACAACAUAAGGAACUGCAUUAAAGAGUCAUGCCAUUAGGAAAGUUGAGAACCAUUGUAUUAGAUUAUAAAAUUAACAAAAUUGGAUAAAAAAAAUCCAAAUUCUAUUAAGACAUUCAAUUAUAAACAAUGUUUGCUUACACAUAAUUUAAAAAAAUAUUUCAGCAACUAUAAAAAUUUAUGAACUGUCAUGAAAAGGCAUAUUUUUAAUAAAUACACAAAAGAAAACAGAUUUGCAAAAACUGGAUUAAUAAAAUCAGGAUUGA